CCUACGGGAGGCAGCAGUAGGGAAUAUUGCUCAAUGGGGGAAACCCUGAAGCAGCAACGCCGCGUGGAGGAUGAAGGUUUUCGGAUUUUAAACUCCUUUUGUUAGAGAAGAUAAUGACGGUAUCUAACGAAUAAGCACCAGCUAACUCCGUGCCAGCAGCCGCGGUAAUACGGAGGGUGCAAGCGUUACUCGGAAUCAUUGGGCGUAAAGAGCGCGUAGGCGGGAUAGCAAGUCAGAUGUGAAAUCGUAUGGCUUAACCAUAGAACGGCAUUUGAAACUGUUAUUCGAGAGUAUGGGAGAGGUAGGUGGAAUGCUUGGUGUAGGGGUGAAAUCCGUAGAGAUCAAGAGGAAUACUCAUUGCGAAGGCGACCUGCUAGAACAUAACUGACGCUGAUGCACGAAAGCGUGGGGAGCAAACAGGAUUAGAUACCCCAGUAGUC
rnacentral:rRNA from 1 species